rnacentral:tRNA from 1 species
CGCGGGGUAGAGCAGCCCGGUAGCUCGUCAGGCUCAUAACCUGAAGGUCGUAGGUUCAAAUCCUACUCCCGCAA